CGCUGUGCGGAAAUUCCCCAAUUAAGGAGAUCUCUCUCUCUCUCUCUCUCUCCACUGCUCGCUACUGUUCGCGCACGGAAAUGUCGGCCUCCGCGUCGUCGCCGUUGCCAGCCGCCGAGGAGAAAGCGCAGCUGGCGCCCGUGGAGCACUGCAAGGGCGUGAACGGCCUCGACAAGGUCGUCCUCCGCGAGGUCCGGGGCAGCUCCGCCGAGGUGUACCUGUAUGGUGGGCAUGUGACAUCAUGGAAAGAUGAGCAUGGAGAGGAGUUGCUUUUUGUUAGCAAUAAGGCUAUUUUCAAACCUCCAAAACCUAUACGUGGAGGAAUACCAAUCUGCUUUCCACAGUUUUCCAACUUUGGAAAUCUGGAACAACAUGGAUUUGCAAGGAAUAGAUCCUGGAGCAUUGAUGCUGAUCCACCGCCAUUUCCAGUACCAACCUCCAAUAGGGCUUAUGUUGACUUAAUCCUUAAAUCCACUGAAGAGGAUUUGAAGAUCUGGCCUCAUAGUUUUGAAUACCGUCUGAGGGUUGCACUUGGUCCUGGUGGUGAUCUGAUGCUAACUUCACGUAUAAGAAAUACUAAUGCAGAUGGAAAGUCGUUCUCUUUUACCUUUGCAUACCACACGUACUUUUCGAUCUCUGAUAUCAGUGAGGUCCGAGUAGAAGGCCUGGAAACUCUGGAUUACCUAGACAACUUACAAGAUAGAGCCCGCUUCACUGAACAAGGCGAUGCGAUUGUUUUUGAAUCUGAACUGGACAGAAUAUAUCUGGGCACGCCGUCAAAAAUUGCCAUUAUUGACCAUGAGAAGAAAAGAACAUUCGUUGUGAGGAAAGCAGGCCUUCCUGAUGCUGUUGUUUGGAACCCCUGGGACAAAAAGGCUAAGGCUAUGUCAGAUUUUGGGGAUGAUGAAUAUAAACGCAUGGUAUGUGUGGAGGCAGCUGCCAUAGAAAAGCAUAUUACUCUGAAGCCUAGUGAGGAGUGGACUGGAAAGUUGGAACUUUCUGCUGUGCCAUCUAGUUAUUACAGUGGUCAGCUAGACCCUGUCCGUGUGAUUCAGGAAUCAAGUGUCCCAGAGGAUUCAUUCAGCUAGUCUGUACUGUAUUUCUGUGCAGGUAACAUUUCUAGUAGUAAUAUGCCCUGCAUAAAGACUGUGAUCGUAGCCAAAUACAAAUCAAACAUAGCAAGAAUUCAUUCAGCUAGUCUGUACUGUAUUUCUGUGCAGGUAGACCAUCAAUUAUAUCAUAUGCAUAAGGGACACUGGCAACAAGGAAUGCCAGCACGUUUCCAUUCUAUUCAAAUCUUUGUUGCUUUCUAUUGGGAAUGCAUAUCCGAAAUGAGGAAUAUCAAAAUUGGUUUCUUUUUUGGGGUCCACAUGACAUAAGGGACAAGUCAGUGUUCAUAUCCUGUACAGGGAUGUUUGAGGCAGAAACAUCUUCCAUGUGUUGUAAAAUAAAAGAAAAAUUCCAUCUUUCUUUGAUCCAUUCUUUUUAUAUUCAGAUGUGUAAGUUCUAUAGUGGACCUAGAAAACGGAGAUGAUGCGGAAAUGAACACACAUUGUGUAAACAUUCUAAUGCUGUGGCUGCGUAGCUGCUUGUGGUUGCAGCACAAAAACUUAUUACAUGGGCAUUUUACUUCCCAUGAUUAUCUAGC